GGUGUGUUUUCGGGGCGAAAUACACUGGAUUGUAAAUCCGUGUACACCGGUUCGAUUCCGGUACUCGCCUCCA
rnacentral:tRNA from 1 species